rnacentral:rRNA from 1 species
GACGGAGGACGCAAGUGUCAUCCGGAAUCACUGGGCGUAAAGCGUCUGUAGGUGGUUUAAUAAGUCAACUGUUAAAUCUUGAGGCUCAACCUCAAAAUCGCAGUCGAAACUAUUAGGCUAGAGUAUAGUAGGGGUAAAGGGAAUUUCCAGUGGAGCGGUGAAAUGCGUAGAGAUUGGAAAGAACACCGAUGGCGAAGGCACUUUACUGGGCUAUUACUAACACUCAGAGACGAAAGCUAGGGUAGCAAAUGGG